GCCAUGUCAUGUUGAAAAACCAGUUCUAAUCUGAUCACUGAAGUUAAGCAAUGUUGAGCCUGGUCAGUACCUAGAUGGGUGACAACUUGGGAAUACCAGGAGUUGUAA